GCAUUCUUAGCUCAGUUGGAUAGAGCAACAGUCUUCUAAACUGUCGGUCACAGGUUCGAGUCCUGUAGAAUGCU
rnacentral:tRNA from 1 species